rnacentral:lncRNA from 1 species
UAACACAUUGGAAGUGGGCAAUAAGUAUGAUUGGCUGGUUUAGGGCUUGUAGGUGUAUUAGGUCCUUUGAUUGACUUUAAUCAAUGAUUGUCUUUAACCUAUUAUAGGAGUAAUGGAGCCAAUUCCAGAGAUUAGUGGUCCUGCCACUCGGGGUGCUCAUGUCGCUGCUCGUAGAGCAAACCCAGUCCUCACGUACACCUGUCAUUGAUUAUGGGCCAGCUUCUCUGACUUCACAGAAUGCACCUCAUGCCCCAGCACCCGUCAAUGCCCAAAAUGACGUACAUGUAGUCCUCAAUGCUAUUAAAGGAUACUUUGAACGUCAGGAGGAGCGAGAUGAAAUUCCACGGGAUAUAAAUAAUACCUAAGACAUUCGAAGCUAUCGAAUGUAGGGAAAAUCAGAAAAUGCCUUUCGCUUCUUUCAUUUUGGAAGAGAAGGCAAACACUUGGUGGACCUAAAAAAGGAGGAUGUUAGAGGCUGAAGGUAAUGUGGUAACUUGUGAGUAGUUUAAAGAUGCAUUUUAUGAGCAGUUCUUUCCUGAUUAAGUUCGCUUUGAGAAGCAACAAGAGUUCCUUAGCAUCCACUAAGGAAGUAGAACUGUAAUGGAAUAUGAUCAUUAUUUUACUGAGUUGGCCCAGUUCUCUCCAUAUAUUGCUUUUAAUGAAAGUCAAAGAGCUCGUCAUUUUGAGAGGGGACUUCGAUCAUCAAUUAGAAAGUCCGUUGCAGUACUAAUUUUACCAACAUAUGCUGAAGUGUUAAAUUGAGCUCUGGUGGCGGAGAAAUUGGAUAAUGAACUACAAUAAGCAAAGGAUCGAAAGCGACUUUUUAAUGUUGCACUAUCUGCGUAUAGGGGAUCAAAUUCUGGACCCUUAAAGAAAGGAAAAGGCAAACAGUUUGGGCAUCAACAAGCAGGAGCUCCUAGCAAUCAAGUCGUCAUAAGAUGCUAUUUCUGUGGGAAGACAGAUCAUGUUUCCAUCUCAUGCCCCAUGGGACAACGUGUAGGUUUUUAUUGUCAACAACCGGGGCACGUGUCGAAGGACUGCCCUCGGAAGUAACAUCAACAUUGAGCUCCACUCCAAAUAGCUGGACAGCAACAACGAGGACCCAGAGAGGGAGGACAGGCAAGAGUCUACGCACUGACUCAUCAAGAUGCUGAAGCCUCGGGAUCUAUUAUUAAAGGUAUCAUCACACUCUGUGGUAUGCCAGCAUCUGUGCUUAUAGAUUCUGGUUCUACGCAUUCUUUUAUAUCGUCAUAUUUUGCUAUGAAACUGCAUAGGAAUCGUAAGACAAUGAGUAAUGCAUUAAUGGUAGUAACACCAGUUGGAAACUCUUUGAUAGUUGAUCAGAUAUAUAGAAACUACGUUAUUACUAUUGAAAGUCUCGAUUUGCUAGUAGAUCUUAUUCUACUAGAAUUUCAAGAUUUCGAUGCUAUCUUGGGUAUGGACUGGCUUUCAGCAUACCAUGCAAGUGUCGAUUGUUUCCGAAAGAUUGUUAUUUUCUCACCCCUAGAUCAACCAUCUUUUAAGUUCAUUGGGAUUCAAGAAAAGUUUCCUUCUAUUAUUUCAGCCUUGAGUGCUAUCCAACUAUUACUAAAGGGAUGUCAGGGAUACUUGGCCUUCAUUUCUAGAGAAGAAUAUAAGAAACCAGUAUUAAAGGACAUCCCCAUUGUACGGGAUUUUCCAAAUGUUUUUCCUGAAGAUCUACUUGCAUUGCUACCAAAUAGACAGAUUGAAUUUACAAUUGAUCUUCUACCUAGCACUGCACCUAUUUCUAAACCUCUGUAUAGAAUGACACUAAUUGAGUUGGAGGAGUUAAAGAAACAGAUCCAAGAGCUUUUGGACAAGGGUUUUAUUCGACCUAGUGUAUCACCUUGGGGUGCCCCUGUCCUAUUUGUGAAGAAGAAAGAUGGAUCUAUGCGACUAUGCAUCGAUUAUAGACAACUCAACCAAGUGACUAUAAAGAAUAAAUAUCCCCUUCCCUGAAUAGAUAACUUAUUUGAUCAAGGUACUCAGGUAUACUCGAAGAUUGAUUUGAGAUCCGGGUAUCAUCAACUAAAGAUAAAGGAAGGAGACAUACAGAAAACUGCUUUUAGAACAAGAUAUGGUCAUUAUGAAUUCUUGCUAAUGUCCUUUGGACUCACAAAUGCACCGGUUGCCUUAAUGGAUCUCAUGAAUAGGGUGUUCCACCCUUAUCUUGAUAAAUUUGUAAUUGCGUUCAUUGAUGAUAUCUUGAUCUACACCAAAAGCAUAGUAGAGUAUGAACACCAUCUUAAGACAGUUCUAGAAGUCCUAAGGCAAGAGAAACUAUAUGCCAAAUUAAGCAAGUGUAAUUUCUGGCUCAAUGAAAUUAUGUUUUUCGGUCAUGUAAUUUCGAGUGUUGGUAUAUCUGUUGACCCUCACAAGAUUGAAGCUGUGUUAAAAUGGAAGCAGCCUUCUAAUGUUUCGGAUAUUAGAAGCUUCUUGGGUUUGGCCGGAUACUAUAGAAGAUUCAUAGAAGGCUUCUCAAAAAUAGCAGCACCAUUGACUAGGUUGACACAAAAGAAUAUAAAGUUCAUGUGGGAUGAUAAAUGUCAACAAAGUUUUCAAGAAUUGAAGAAAUUGACUAGUGCUCCUAUCUCGGUGAUUCCUUCAGGAGGAGAAGGUUUUGUAGUGUAUAGCGACGCCUCACUAUAAGGGCUUGGUUGUGUUCUGAUGCAAAACGAAAGGGUAAUUGCUUAUGCAUCUAGGCAAUUAAAGCCUCACGAGAAGAACUAUCCUACUCAUGACUUAGAGGUAGCAGCUAUCAUUUUUGCACUGAAAAUUUGGAGGCAUUAUCUCUAUGGAUAAACUUUGAAAUCUUCACAGAUCAUAAGAGUCUCAAAUAUAUUUUCACACAGAAAGAUUUAAAUAUGAGACAAACAAGAUGGUUGGACUUUCUAAAGGAUUAUGAUUUUAAUAUCAACUACCAUCCUGGGAAGGCUAAUGUAGUUGCUAAUGCCUUAAGCAGAAAUACCUAUAGUCUUGUAGCCUACAUGAAUAUUCAAAGGAAUUCUAUGAUGACGGAGUUGACAAACUUAAAACUUAAAACUUUUAUUGGAGACAAAUAAAGGUUUUCUUACGUGUCUGAUGGCGCAAUCAUAUUUGGUAGAAAAGGUUAAAGAAUGUCAGAAGGAAGAUACAUAUCUUCAGAUGAUAGUUAAUGAGAUAGCUCAAGGAUCUAGACCUGAAUUCCUCCAAGUCGAAGAUGGUUCUAUUACAUUCCACACUCGACUUUGUGUUCCCGAAAGGCAUCCAGUAAAGAUGCAAUUAUUGGAGGAGGCACAUAGAUCAAAAUUUAAUAUCCAUCCCGGGACUACUAAAAUGUAUCGAGAUUUAUGCCAAAACUACUGGUGGCGUGGUAUGAAGAGAGAUAUAGCAGAGUUUGUUUCUAAAUGUUUGAUAUGCCAACAAGUGAAGAUAGAACAUCGAGUACUUGCGGAAAAAUUGCAAAGGAUUUCGAUUCCUGAAUGGAAGUGGGAGCAAGUCACUAUGGAUUUUGUGACAGGAUUACCCAAGACUGCGAAAGGAUAUGACGGAAUUUGGGUAGUAGUAGACAAACUUACUAAAUCUGCUCACUUCCUCCCUAUUAACAAGAAGUAUUCAUUGGAUAAACUAGCAAGCUUAUAUAUUAAGGAAAUUAUUCGAUUUAAGGAAAUUAUUCGAUAUCAUGGGGUGCCAGUUAGCAUUAUCUCAAAUAGAGAUCCAAGGUUCACCUCAAAAUUUUGAGGAAGUCUACAAAAAUAUUUGGGCACGCAGUUAAAGUUUAGUACAGCUUUUCACCCCCAAACUGAUGGCCAAUCUGAAAGGACAAUACAAACUCUUGAAGAUCUCUUAAGAGCAUAUGCUUUGGACUUUGGUGGGAGUUAGGAUAUGCACUUGCACCUAAUUAAGUUUUCCUAUAAUAAUAGUUACCACUCUAGCAUACAGAUGGCUCCAUUUGAAGCUCUUUAUAAAAGAAAGUGCAGAUCACCUGUAUAUUGCGAUGAGGUAAGAGAACGAAAGCUUUUGGGACCUCAAUUAAUUCAGAAAGAUGCUGAUAAUGUUCGAAUUAUACGCCAAAGAUUAUUAACAGCUCAAAGUCGUCAGAAAAGUUAUGCAAAUCGAAGGCGAAGAGAUCUAGAGUUCGAAGUUGGUGAGCAUGUCUUCUUAAAAGUGUCGCCAACCAAGGGAGUUAUGAGGUUUGGCCAAAGGGGGAAGUUAGCCCUAAGAUUCAUUGGCCCAUUUGAGAUCUUACAAAAGGUCGGGCCUGUGGCGUACAGAUUGGCAUUGCCCCCGACUUUGGUUAGCAUCCAUGAUGUAUUCCAUGUGUCUAUGCUUCGAAGAUAUAUCAGGGAUCCAUCAUAUGUCAUAUCUUACUAACCUUUACAACUAAGAGAUGAUGCCACUUUUGGAGAACAACCAACCCAAAUCCUAGAAAGGAAAGAACAUGUUCUAAAAAAUAAAAUUAUACCUCUAGUAAAUAUUUGUUGGCAACACUAUUCAGACCAAGAGACAACGUGGGAAAGAGAAGAAGAUAUGCGAGAGCAGUAUCCUCAUCUAUUCUAUUAAAGUGAGCUAAAUUUGGGGAUCAAAUUUCCUAUAGGGGAGAAAUGUAAUCACAUCAAAUAUUGAAGUUAGGAAUUAAUUUUUUCCUUACUUGCCAUUGUAAUUUAAGGAAAUCUUAAUCUAUUUCCUUGUUUGCUAAUACGAAUUAGGAAAUAACUAUUAAUCAUUCCAAAUAGGGUGAUAUCAUAUUUGUUAAAAUAUUAAAUGAAAAUAAUUUAUAUUAAAUAAAUACGAAAAUUAAAAUAAAUUUCCUUUAAUGGAGGCUCACCUCCUUCUAUUUAAGGGGAGGGAUUUCUCUCCUUCGUUCCUCACCUACUCGAGCCUGACAGCGGGAGGAACGAGGAGUUACACCCUGCUGACGAGAGGUAGGUUUCCCUACCUUCCUUGAAAAUAAAAGUUUUAGUCUUUAUUUUGAUUCUUUAAAUGUUGAAUAUUUUGUAGUUUGAAAGAUAUUUAUUAAUUCUUUAAAUG